UGCGGUGACCGCCACGAGCG
rnacentral:misc_RNA from 1 species